UUGGUUCAGCUUUGAUGGAGGAAUUGGACCAACCUACCCCCAGAGGUCCUUCUGAACUAAAUUAUCUCAUGAUUCUGUGAUUCUUACCUGCUGAAAGAUUGACUGCAUUUCCAGCAGUCACCUCACCGGCCACUUUUAAAGCACCAUGAGAAAAGAAAUUUCCAGCUGAGCAGCAGAUUCAACAGCAGUUUCCACCACAUUUAACAGAAGUGAAUUCCUGGGAAGGUUUGAGCGUAGCAGAGAUGAGCAGAGAUGCCUGGCAAAUAGCUUUGGGAAUAAUAUUACAGCAAAGGCUCAAGGACCUGGCAUUUCCACUUUAUUUAUUUGGACAGCACCAGAGGCCAGAGAUCUGAAGAGACACAUAGUGGGAGGGCAAGAUGCUUUUUCUAGGAAAAAUUAAAUCAACACUGUAACUGAACAAAUGCACUGAAUGAAGGGUGGGGAAUAGGGAAGAAAUGGCACAGUCAGCAGCAAAGGAAUGAAAAAACAAAAGAUGAUGAUCAUCAUAUUAAAUUGAGAUUAGCGGGGCCAAUUAACAUUUGUUAUCUUUGCCAAGUUUGCUUAUGAAACCUGUAACAUUACUACAGAAAGCUACAUGUUAAUUUAAAAGAAAUCAAGAAGCACAGAUAAUAUCUUCAAUUGCUAAAAUCAAAGCAGCUUCUCACCUGCUCAUCCUGAUAAGGCAUCUCAGGGGCAGGAUGGCAGAUUACUCCCAACAGCAAGGUGAAAACAUCUCUCCAGAACCACUCCCUUAAGCAUGCUUUCCUAUUUGGUUUGCACACCUCUUCAUUGAUUAGCAUCUUCAUUAAUACAUUAGGAUUUAACUAAUACUGGCUAUGUAAAUUCACUUAAUCAAAGUACAAGCUGCAGCUCAUGUGCGAUACACUGAAUUUGCAUCAGAUUUUACAAGUAACUUUUCUCUAUCUGCACUCCUACAAAGCUAAAUUCAGCAGUACGGAAGGAGAGUGUGAACAGAUUUUCAAGGACUCCUCAGGUAUUUCUUAAUGGGGUGCAGCACAUCAUAUCUCACAGUCUCUCCUUCACUGAGGCCAGAAUCUCAAGAAGCAGCAGCAAGUAGCAGACUGUGUGGGCAAGAACUGCCAGAUAUGCCCCAUGCCAAUAAGGCUGCUGAGCUCUUGAACUCUCCCACCUGACUUAUUUCUCGGUAGACUAAUUUUGCCCUGCUGCAAAAUGGGCCUACUAGCAGCCUACUUUGCAAAACUGCAGUGUUCUCAUUAGCUAAUAUGUGCUAAGUGUCUGGAAGUAGCU